rnacentral:rRNA from 1 species
AUGAACGCUGGCGGCGUGCCUAAUACAUGCAAGUCGCACGAAACUUCUUUAUCACCGAGUGCUUGCACUCACCGAUAAAGAGUUGAGUGGCGAACGGGUGAGUAACACGUGGGCAACCUGCCCAAAAGAGGGGGAUAACACUUGGAAACAGGUGCUAAUACCGCAUAACCAUAGUUACCGCAUGGUAACUGUGUAAAAGGUGGCUAUACUACCGCUUUUGGAUGGGCCCGCGGCGCAUUAGCUAGUUGGUAGGGUAAAGGCUUACCAAGGCAAUGAUGCGUAGCCGAAUUGAGAGGUUGAUCGGCCACAUUGGGACUGAGACACGGCCCAAACUCCUACGGGAGGCAGCAGUAGGGAAUCUUCCACAAUGGGCGAAAGCCUGAUGGAGCAACGCCGCGUGGGUGAAGAAGGUCUUCGGAUCGUAAAACCCUGUUGUUAGAGAAGAAAGUGCGUGAGAGUAACUGUUCACGUUUCGACGGUAUCUAACCAGAAAGCCACGGCUAACUACGUG